CUGUACCUACGGGAGGCAGCAGUAGGGAAUCUUCCACAAUGGACGAAAGUCUGAUGGAGCAACGCCGCGUGAGUGGAGAAGGGUUUCGGCUCGUAAAGCUCUGUUGGUAGUGAAGAAAGAUAGAGGUAGUAACUGGCCUUUAUUUGACGGUAAUUACUUAGAAAGUCACGGCUAACUACGUGCCAGCAGCCGCGGUAAUACGUAGGGGGCAAGCGUUAUCCGGAUUUACUGGGUGUAAAGGGAGCGCAGGCGGUGCGGCAAGU
rnacentral:rRNA from 1 species